ACUGCUGAGCCAGGAGUCAUGAAGAUCUUAGUUAAAUUCCACUUCAGGACAUUGAUUAGCUGUAUGACCCUAGGUAUGUGGCAUCUCUAAAUUCAAUAAUCCUGUAAUCUAUAGCUUUAUCCACCUCGAUUUGAUUUCUGGCAUAAUUCUGCAAAAGAUCAUUAAAGAGGUGGUCAUUGAAUACUCUUCCUUCUUGACUGCCCAGGUGGACUAUUCCAAAGAAAUUGCCAAGGAAAGAAGAUGACCUAGGCAUGUAUGAACAAUGAGAAAGAGGCAUAACUGAUAAACAUUCAUGGGCUUCGUUGGAUCCAAUUCAAUGAUAAGAGACCUCGAGGAAUGUCUCUGGGAUCUUGGGUUGGUGACUUGCCUCUUGGAGGUUGCUUUUGACUGGGACUUUGGCUCUUGGACUGCUUCUUGGAGGACUGCUUCUGGAUCUUCUCCUUUGGACUUUAGUGUUGGAGGACUUUGCCUUGGCUUAUUCCCUACACCCCUACAAUACAUCAGUCAACUAAUCAAGCAAUCAACAAGUAUUUAUUGGGAAGGAAAGAAAUGAACAUUUAUUAAGCACCGACUGUGUGCCAGUUUCAGAUACAGUUAGCUGCAAUCAUGGCAACCUUGGAAGCAGAUUCCAGAAAGGACAUUAAAGCCAGCCAUCCCUAGCAAGGAAGCCUGGAGAAGUCAGAAUGCAUAAAACUCAGAGGGAUUUUGGAUUUGGAACUGGUAUUGGGAGAAUAAAUUUGUAUAUUUGUGAUUAUAUUUUUGACUU
rnacentral:lncRNA from 1 species